CCGCGGUAAUACGUAGGCAGCGAGCGUUGUUCGGAAUUACUGGGCGUAAAGCGAGMGUAGGCGGUUCACCAAGUCUGUUGUGAAAUCUCCCGGCUUAACUGGGAGGGUGCGGCGGAAACUGGUGGACUAGAGUGCGAGAGGGGAGAGUGGAAUUCCUGGUGUAGCGGUGAAAUGCGUAGAUAUCAGGAGGAACACCGGUGGUGAAGACGGCUCUCUGGAUCGCGACUGACGCUGAGACUCGAAAGCGUGGGGAGCAAACAGGAUUAGAUACCCUGGUAGUCCACGCCCUAAACGAUGCAUACUUGGUGUGGGCUCUUYAUUGAGUCCGUGCCGGAGCUAACGCGUUAAGUAUGCCCCCUGGGGAGUACGGUCGCAAGGCUGAAACUCAAAGGA
rnacentral:rRNA from 1 species